rnacentral:rRNA from 1 species
CAGUAGCCGCGGUAAUACGAAGGGUGCAAGCGUUACUCGGAAUUACUGGGCGUAAAGCGUGUGUAGGUGGUUGUUUAAGUCUGUCGUGAAAGCCCUGGGCUCAACCUGGGAAUUGCGAUGGAUACUGGGCGACUAGAGUGCGGUAGAGGAUAGUGGAAUUUCCGGUGUAGCAGUGAAACGCGUAGAGAUCGGAAGGAACAUCUGUGGCGAAGGCGACUAUCUGGGCCAACACUGACACUGAGACACGAAAGCGUGGGGAGCAAACAGGAUUAGAUACCCCUGUAGUCCCUGUCUCUUAUAC